rnacentral:rRNA from 1 species
UUGGAACAGCCCAUCUUCCACGCAAAAACAAUAGUAAACGGAGAAAUCCUCACGAUCCCUAAAUCCCGCAGAUUAUCCUCGCACCCGUUUCCUUCCUCCACUCCCGUCGCCGCCGUUUCCUUAUUCGUCGCCCGAUUAGUGCUCGCCAUUCUUCACCACGCCGUGGAUGAGCUGCUCACCUCCCCUUCGUCCCUGGGCUUCUUGUGGAAGGCUGAGCUGUCGAUCUGUCUGCAGCGGUAGCAUAUCCUCCCUCAGGCGGCCAUGAUGGCCUUCUUGUGAGCAGCUCGCCGAUCUGUACCUGAUUUUGCAACUCCGUCUCUCAUUCGGUCAUGAAUAAUGAUGGUUCAAUUUCUGCCACUACCCUCCCUACUGCUAAUCACCUAAUCUUUACGAGAUCGAUGCUUCCUAUAAAUCCGCUACGUGCUUGUACUUGCGUAUGGAUUGGCAAUACAAGCAUGCUUCUCAGACACAUCCACCAGAUUCCAAAUGAGCUUCUUUGUUGUCCGCAAGAUGGGAUGCAAUGACGUUGAAUGUGCUAUAACUGAGACAAAUGAGUCACUGUUCUAAGUUGUCUGUUGUACUGGAACAACAGUUGUCCAUGACCAGCUUGUGAAAAGUAUUGCUGUAAUAGGCUUCUGUUUAAUUGCAAAGAGAAUUGUAAUAUUUUCUGCUUACCAUAUCAAACAAAUUCGAG